rnacentral:tRNA from 1 species
UUAGUUAAAGCCAAAAUAGAGGCAUUUUAUUGUUAAUAAAAGAAUUGAAUAAAUAUACUCUAACUAAU